UAAUUAAGGACUAGGACGUUAAUGAAACACACUUUCAAUUGUUGUCCUCUAUAAAUUGCUCAUGUCUAGCCCUUUUUACUGCAGGAAACAUGUGCCCAAGAACAUGGUCUCUUCUUUAUGGAAACGUCUGCAAAAACUGCUGCAAAUUUUGGUGACAUUUUCUACGAGUUAGCUAAGAGACUACCCUGAGUUCAGCCAGCACCGAACCCGUUCGGGAAUGGUUCUCAUGGAGAGACCUGCUGAAAGGACGGCGGCUGCAUCGUGUUGUUCUUAAUAUAGUCCUUGUCUGUGCUUUCUGUAAAAGUUUAUGUUGUCUUCUUACAAAAUGCACGAUGAAUUCUCGUCACUCUGAGGUUAUCUCUGCCGAGUUUUCGGGUGGAAUUGUACACGCGAUGUCAAUUUUGGUCCCUAUUAUUGCACAGUUUACGAGUUGUGUGAUCUAAUCUUCAUAUAUAAUGACUAUGGCUUGGCUCCCUA